rnacentral:rRNA from 1 species
GACGAACGCUGGCGGCGUGCUUAACACAUGCAAGUCGAACGGAAAGGCCCUGCUUGCAGAGUGCUCGAGUGGCGAACGGGUGAGUAACACGUGGGUGAUCUGCCCCUUACUUUGGGAUAAGCCUGGGAAACUGGGUCUAAUACUGGAUAGGACCAUGCUGUAGGUGGUGUGGUGGAAAGAUUAGUUUCGGUAAGGGAUGAGCUCGCGGCCUAUCAGCUUGUUGGUGGGGUAAUGGCCUACCAAGGCGUCGACGGGUAGCCGGCCUGAGAGGGUGGACGGCCACAUUGGGACUGAGAUACGGCCCAGACUCCUACGGGAGGCAGCAGUGGGGAAUAUUGCACAAUGGGCGCAAGCCUGAUGCAGCGACGCCGCGUGGGGGAUGACGGCCUUCGGGUUGUAAACUCCUUUCAGCCAUGACGAAGCCCUUGUGGUGACGGUAGUGGUAGAAGAAGCACCGGCUAACUACGUG